CUGAGCGUGCCGCCGCCGCUGCACCGGAUCACGCCCUCGUGAAUGCUCGUCUCCUCCGCGCCGUCGAUCACCACGGUGAACACGUGGUGGGCGGCCGUGGCAGAGGUGAUCGGGCCGACGGCCACCAUUCUCGCUCUGAAUUUUAUAUGUACUCCGUAUGUGAUCUUACUGGCUUGCUCCUUUCUCUUAUCUGAAACUUUUAUUCACUUUGUGGCGAGUCCUUGGAACUUCCAAGUUGAAGGUAUUAUAAAGAGGCAUGUUGCUUAAGGGCUAAGGUAGCAAAGAGGUUAAUUCCUGAUCCCUCUCGGUCAUAUGAGGUGACGACGACUGAUUGAGAUCGGCUGUUUGCAUAAACAUUUAUUGUAGAGUGUGUACGUAGCAGCUCACCAACCGUUGCUGCCCAACCGUGCACACUAAUCGCUGGUUGCUGAAAUGUGCAGGCUUCUGUGCUUUCUGGAUAAGCUGUACAAUCGACGGAAAUACUUAAAUAUACAUGUAUAUCAACAAGAAAUUUCUUACACAAGCCAGUAAGGUUUACGUGCAAAUGAAUUUUAGAGGUAUACAUCAAAGUGAGAUAGGACUAUCGAAAUGUAUGUUGGAUUUGUCCAAAGACCAGUCACAUGAAGAUGCACAUGAUCGGGAAUUUAUUUGGUCAGAGGCACCUGUCGUGGCUCUCUUUUUAUUUCUUUUCAAUAAUUUAAAUCCCACGUUACAAAAGCUAACCCUGGUGCAUCUAUAUAUACACCCAAAAUCACCUAAUGCUAAUAGGACUAGAACUUAAUGUGCAAAGCUAAUUAGACUCGUAUUAGUGCUACUACUCGAACUCAGGACGGACCAGUCCUAAACGGACUCAUACAACAAGAUUAUUCUAACAAUGUACAGGUCUAGCAUAUUGAGUCUGUUGUCUGCCCAUCCUUUCACUUUGGAGAUUAAAGUGAUUUUGCAUUUCCCUGGUAGAAAUCGUAGAUUAUUCGCAAUUAGGGUUUCUGCUUUAUGUUGGUCAAUUUGAAAAGCUAGGAAUUUAGCCUUUUUUUCAAAAUGUUUAUCCUAGUGAUCCGUCUAAUUUGGUUUUCUCCAUAGUUACUGAAUCAAUUACUGGGCGGGGCUUCAGAAAUCAGGAGUUAAGGAGAAGAUGGAGCUGGGGGCUCAACUUUUGCAGCUCGUGGCGAGACAUGGAUGCGUUGGCUUGCCUGACCAAUGGACCUUGAUGUUUGGUUGGACUUCAUUUUGGUUUCUGGCCGAGUUCUGAUUAGGGCAGUUCAUACUGCCUAUGUCGGUAUGCUUUGGCAUUUCCUUUCAGUUUUCAAACCUCUUCCGAACUGCUGAACAUCAAACUUGUAGUUCGAUUUCAUUAAUGAUAUACGGGGAAUUUACACAUUUCUCUCCUGACAUGGAUUACAAGUUAACUUAAACUUACAAAAUUUCUCUCCCAGUUCGGGAGCAAAGUACCGAAAAGGAGAAUUUUGGUGUGUAAGCAGCCGCGGGAGGUUUUAAUGGGGGUCUGCUCGUGU
rnacentral:lncRNA from 1 species